rnacentral:rRNA from 1 species
GACGAACGCUGGCGGCGUGCUUAACACAUGCAAGUCGAACGCUGAAGCUCAGCUUUUGUUGGGUGGAUGAGUGGCGAACGGGUGAGUAACACGUGAGUAACCUGCCUCCUUCUUUGGGAUAACGCCCGGAAACGGGUGCUAAUACUGGAUAUUCACUGGUCUUCGCAUGGGGGUUGGUGGAAAGGGUUUUUCUGGUGGGGGAUGGGCUCGCGGCCUAUCAGCUUGUUGGUGGGGUGAUGGCCUACCAAGGCUUUGACGGGUAGCCGGCCUGAGAGGGUGACCGGUCACAUUGGGACUGAGAUACGACCCAGACUCCUACGGGAGGCAGCAGUGGGGAAUAUUGCACAAUGGGCGCAAGCCUGAUGCAGCGACGCCGCGUGAGGGAUGGAGGCCUUCGGGUUGUGAACCUCUUUCGCUCAUGGUCAAGCCGCAACAAUGGUUGUGGUGAGGGUAGUGGGUAAAGAAGCGCCGGCUAACUACGUG